UUCAGUUUUGUUUCCGUAGUGCCUGGGGGCGGGGAACGCGGGGUUGCGGAUUACUUGGCCGCUUCCUACGAAGACUAGAGAGGGUCAAACAUAAAUGAACGCAGUUGUGACAACCUGUUUUUCCUUUUGAGGUGGCGUAAAUAUACCCCAUCUCCUAUACCAGGACGAGGAAAGUGACCAUUGUCUAGAGAUGGAAGGCUGGCAUUAAGAGUCUUCUGACUGCCUGCUCAUGGGAUACGUUCUCACCUUGUAGUUUUUAAAUGCUGUGUUUUCACACCAGAUGAUGGGCAUAAGAGGUCAUGAGAGGAUGGGAAGAGAGUCAGUUAAUAAAGUGAAAGCAAAGAGGGAGAGAAACAAAGUGUUUGCACUCAUGCUCAUGCAAGGGAGUGGUGAGAGGCAGAGAGAGAGAGGGAGAGAGAAUGAUGUGGGGCUCAGUCUCAUGAACUGUGAGAUCAUGACCUCAGCUGAAAUCAAGAGUCUGAUGCUCAACCUACUGAGCUACCUAGGCGCCCCAGGUGAGCCCUUAUUCUAAUAUAAUGGGUAUUCUUAUAAUAUGCUGGCCAUAUAAAGACAGAGGCACAGGGAGAAGGCUAUGUGACCAUGAAGGCAGAGAUUGGAGUUAUGCAGCUGCAAAUCAAGAAAAGCUGAAGAUUUUCAGGAAACCGCUGGAAGAUAGGAAGACACAAAGAAGGAUUCUCUGUACAGGUUUCAAAGGAAUCCGGUAACACCUGGAUUUUAGAAUUUUCGCUACCUGAAAUAUGAGACAAUAAAUUUGUUAUUUUAAGUCA